AUUGAACGCUGGCGGCAUGCCUAACACAUGCAAGUCGAGCGAGCGGCGGACGGGUGAGUAAUGUCUGGGAAAGUGCCUGAUGGAGGGGGAUAAAUACUGGAAACGGUAGAUAAUACCGCAUACCAUCAGAUGUGCCCAGAUGGGAUAAGCUAGUAGGUGGGGUAACGGCGACCCUAGGCGUCGAUCCCUAGCUGGUCUGAGAGGAUGACCGUCCCCACGGGAACUGAGACACGGUCCAGACUCCUCCGGGAGGCAGCAGUGGGGAAUAUUGGACAAGGGGCGAAAUACUGAUGCAGCCAUGCCGCGUGUAUGAAGAAGGCCUUCGGGUUGUAAAGUACUUUCAGCGGGGAGGCGUUACCCGCAGAAGAAGCACCGGCUAACUCCGUGCCAGCAGCCGCGGUAAUUC
rnacentral:rRNA from 1 species